UACGGAGGGGGCUAGCGUUGUUCGGAAUUACUGGGCGUAAAGCGCGCGUAGGCGGCUUUGUAAGUUAGAGGUGAAAGCCCGGAGCUCAACUCCGGAAUUGCCUUUAAGACUGCAUCGCUAGAAUCAUGGAGAGGUGAGUGGAAUUCCGAGUGUAGAGGUGAAAUUCGUAGAUAUUCGGAAGAACACCAGUGGCGAAGGCGACUUACUGGACAUGUAUUGACGCUGAGGUGCGAAAGCGUGGGGAGCAAACAGG
rnacentral:rRNA from 1 species